UAAUCCUUUCUCCUCUUAUGCUUAUUUGUGGUUACUUAGCAUAUUUAAUGAUUAAACAAAUUGAUGGAAAAGAAAAAUCCAAGAAGAAAAAAGCAUUAAAGUCUUCUAAUACAAUGAAAACAAGAAGAAAAGCUGCUAAAAUUGAAUAAAAACUGAGCUCGAGGUCGAUUGUUGUUGAAAGUCAGAAAAAAGAGUUUUAGUUUUUAUGUUUGAAUUGUAAAUCGUUUUUAUGAUUUCUUUAAAGUUUCUAAUA
rnacentral:lncRNA from 1 species